rnacentral:rRNA from 1 species
GUAGGUGGCAAGCGUUGUCCGGAAUUAUUGGGCGUAAAGCGCGCGCAGGCGGUUCUUUAAGUCUGAUGUGAAAGCCCACGGCUCAACCGUGGAGGGUCAUUGGAAACUGGAGAACUUGAGUACAGAAGAGGAAAGCGGAAUUCCACGUGUAGCGGUGAAAUGCGUAGAGAUGUGGAGGAACACCAGUGGCGAAGGCGGCUUUCUGGUCUGUAACUGACGCUGAGGCGCGAAAGCGUGGGGAGCAAACAGGGAUUAGAUACCCUGGUAGUCCACGCCGUAAACGAUGAGUGCUAAGUGUUAGGGGAUUUCCGCCCCCCUUAGUGCUGCAGCUAACGCAUUAAGCACUCCGCCUGGGAGUACGGCCGCAAGGCUG